rnacentral:misc_RNA from 1 species
UGUAUGGAGGGACAGUUGCACACAGGCCGAGCAAGAGCUGGCCACGGGCACACGGAGGGGAGGGGAUUUAACAAACAGGAAAAGACAUGCAGC